GGGUUGUGAGGUUAAGCGACUAAGCGUACACGGUGGAUGCCCUGGCAGUCAGAGGCGAUGAAGGACGUGCUAAUCUGCGAAAAGCGUCGGUAAGGUGAUAUGAACCGUUACAGCCGGCGAUGUCCGAAUGGGGAAACCCAGUGCAAUUCGUUGCACUAUCGUUAACUGAAUACAUAGGUUAACGAGGCGAACCGGGGGAACUGAAACAUCUAAGUACCCCGAGGAAAAGAAAUCAACCGAGAUUCCCCCAGUAGCGGCGAGCGAACGGGGAGCAGCCCAGAGUCUGAAUCAGCUUGUGUGUUAGUGGAACGGUCUGGAAAGUCCGACGGUACAGGGUGAUAGUCCCGUACACCAAAAUGCACAGGCUGUGAACUCGAAGAGUAGGGCGGGACACGUGGUAUCCUGUCUGAAUAUGGGGGGACCAUCCUCCAAGGCUAAAUACUCCUGACUGACCGAUAGUGAACCAGUACCGUGAGGGAAAGGCGAAAAGAACCCCGGCGAGGGGAGUGAAAAAGAACCUGAAACCGUGUACGUACAAGCAGUGGGAGCACCUUCGGGUGUGACUGCGUACCUUUUGUAUAAUGGGUCAGCGACUUAUAUUCUGUAGCAAGGUUAACCGUAUAGGGGAGCCGCAGGGAAACCGAGUCUUAACUGGGCGUUAAGUUGCAGGGUAUAGACCCGAAACCCGGUGAUCUAGCCAUGGGCAGGUUGAAGGUUGGGUAACACUAACUGGAGGACCGAACCGACUAAUGUUGAAAAAUUAGCGGAUGACUUGUGGCUGGGGGUGAAAGGCCAAUCAAACCGGGAGAUAGCUGGUUCUCCCCGAAAGCUAUUUAGGUAGCGCCUCGUGAAUUCAUCUUCGGGGGUAGAGCACUGUUUCGGCUAGGGGGUCAUCCCGACUUACCAACCCGAUGCAAACUACGAAUACCGAAGAAUGUUAUCACGGGAGACACACGGCGGGUGCUAACGUCCGUCGUGAAGAGGGAAACAACCCAGACCGCCAGCUAAGGUCCCAAAGUCAUGGUUAAGUGGGAAACGAUGUGGGAAGGCACAGACAGCCAGGAUGUUGGCUUAGAAGCAGCCAUCAUUUAAAGAAAGCGUAAUAGCUCACUGGUCGAGUCGGCCUGCGCGGAAGAUGUAACGGGGCUAAACCAUGCACCGAAGCUGCGGCAGCGACACUAUGUGUUGUUGGGUAGGGGAGCGUUCUGUAAGCCUGCGAAGGUGUGCUGUGAGGCAUGCUGGAGGUAUCAGAAGUGCGAAUGCUGACAUAAGUAACGAUAAAGCGGGUGAAAAGCCCGCUCGCCGGAAGACCAAGGGUUCCUGUCCAACGUUAAUCGGGGCAGGGUGAGUCGACCCCUAAGGCGAGGCCGAAAGGCGUAGUCGAUGGGAAACAGGUUAAUAUUCCUGUACUUGGUGUUACUGCGAAGGGGGGACGGAGAAGGCUAUGUUAGCCGGGCGACGGUUGUCCCGGUUUAAGCAUGUAGGCUGGUUGUCCAGGCAAAUCCGGAUAAUCAAGGCUGAGGUGUGAUGACGAGGCACUACGGUGCUGAAGUAACAAAUGCCCUGCUUCCAGGAAAAGCCUCUAAGCAUCAGGUAACAUCAAAUCGUACCCCAAACCGACACAGGUGGUCAGGUAGAGAAUACCAAGGCGCUUGAGAGAACUCGGGUGAAGGAACUAGGCAAAAUGGUGCCGUAACUUCGGGAGAAGGCACGCUGGUGUGUAGGUGAAGUCCCUGCGGAUGGAGCUGAGACCAGUCGAAGAUACCAGCUGGCUGCAACUGUUUAUUAAAAACACAGCACUGUGCAAACACGAAAGUGGACGUAUACGGUGUGACGCCUGCCCGGUGCCGGAAGGUUAAUUGAUGGGGUUAUCCGUAAGGAGAAGCUCUUGAUCGAAGCCCCGGUAAACGGCGGCCGUAACUAUAACGGUCCUAAGGUAGCGAAAUUCCUUGUCGGGUAAGUUCCGACCUGCACGAAUGGCGUAAUGAUGGCCAGGCUGUCUCCACCCGAGACUCAGUGAAAUUGAACUCGCUGUGAAGAUGCAGUGUACCCGCGGCAAGACGGAAAGACCCCGUGAACCUUUACUAUAGCUUGACACUGAACAUUGAGCCUUGAUGUGUAGGAUAGGUGGGAGGCUUUGAAGCGUGGACGCCAGUCUGCGUGGAGCCAACCUUGAAAUACCACCCUUUAAUGUUUGAUGUUCUAACGUUGGCCCCUGACCGGGGUUGCGGACAGUGUCUGGUGGGUAGUUUGACUGGGGCGGUCUCCUCCCAAAGCGUAACGGAGGAGCACGAAGGUUAGCUAAUCCUGGUCGGACAUCAGGAGGUUAGUGCAAUGGCAUAAGCUAGCUUGACUGCGAGCGUGACGGCGCGAGCAGGUGCGAAAGCAGGUCAUAGUGAUCCGGUGGUUCUGAAUGGAAGGGCCAUCGCUCAACGGAUAAAAGGUACUCCGGGGAUAACAGGCUGAUACCGCCCAAGAGUUCAUAUCGACGGCGGUGUUUGGCACCUCGAUGUCGGCUCAUCACAUCCUGGGGCUGAAGUAGGUCCCAAGGGUAUGGCUGUUCGCCAUUUAAAGUGGUACGCGAGCUGGGUUUAGAACGUCGUGAGACAGUUCGGUCCCUAUCUGCCGUGGGCGCUGGAGAAUUGAGGGGGGCUGCUCCUAGUACGAGAGGACCGGAGUGGACGCAUCACUGGUGUUCGGGUUGUCAUGCCAAUGGCACUGCCCGGUAGCUAAAUGCGGAAGAGAUAAGUGCUGAAAGCAUCUAAGCACGAAACUUGCCCCGAGAUGAGUUCUCCCUGAGACUUUAAGUCUCCUGAAGGAACGUUAAAGACGAUGACGUUGAUAGGCCGGGUGUGUAAGCGCAGCGAUGCGUUGAGCUAACCGGUACUAAUGAACCGUGAGGCUUAACCUUACAACGCCGAAG
rnacentral:rRNA from 1 species